GGCUGGAUGGCUCAGUUGGUAGAACAUGAGACUCUUAAUCUCAGGUUUGUGGAUUUGAGCCCCAUGUAGGGCA